rnacentral:tRNA from 1 species
GUCCAGGAAUGGGAAUCAAACCCACAGUGUUCCGCUUACCGGGCAGAUGCCAUGUCCACUAGGCUACCCUGGA